rnacentral:rRNA from 1 species
AGUCGAGCGGAUGACGGGAGCUUGCUCCUGGAUUCAGCGGCGGACGGGUGAGUAAUGCCUAGGAAUCUGCCUGGUAGUGGGGGACAACGUUUCGAAAGGAACGCUAAUACCGCAUACGUCCUACGGGAGAAAGCAGGGGACCUUCGGGCCUUGCGCUAUCAGAUGAGCCUAGGUCGGAUUAGCUUGUUGGUGAGGUAAUGGCUCACCAAGGCGACGAUCCGUAACUGGUCUGAGAGGAUGAUCAGUCACACUGGAACUGAGACACGGUCCAGACUCCUACGGGAGGCAGCAGUGGGGAAUAUUGGACAAUGGGCGAAAGCCUGAUCCAGCCAUGCCGCGUGUGUGAAGAAGGUCUUCGGAUUGUAAAGCACUUUAAGUUGGGAGGAAGGGUUGUAGAUUAAUACUCUGCAAUUUUGACGUUACCGACAGAAUAAGCACCGGCUAACUCUGUGCCAGCAGCCGCGGUAAUACAGAGGGUGCAAGCGUUAAUCGGAAUUACUGGGCGUAAAGCGCGCGUAGGUGGUUUGUUAAGUUGGAUGUGAAAGCCCCGGGCUCAACCUGGGAACUGCAUCCAAAACUGGCAAGCUAGAGUACGGUAGAGGGUGGUGGAAUUUCCUGUGUAGCGGUGAAAUGCGUAGAUAUAGGAAGGAACACCAGUGGCGAAGGCGACCACCUGGACUGAUACUGACACUGAGGUGCGAAAGCGUGGGGAGCAAACAGGAUUAGAUACCCUGGUAGUCCACGCCGUAAACGAUGUCAACUAGCCGUUGGAAUCCUUGAGAUUUUAGUGGCGCAGCUAACGCAUUAAGUUGACCGCCUGGGGAGUACGGCCGCAAGGUUAAAACUCAAAUGAAUUGACGGG